CGGCGUGCCUAAUACAUGCAAGUCGAACGGACUUUCUAUGGAAGCUUGCUUCCACUGAGAAGAUAGUGGCGAACGGGUGAGUAACACGUGGGUAACCUGCCCAUAAGAGGGGGAUAACAUCCGGAAACGGGUGCUAAUACCGCAUAGUUUUCUUGAUCGCAUGAUCGGGAAGGAAAGACGGCCUUUGUGCUGUCGCUUAUGGAUGGACCCGCGGCGUAUUAGUUAGUUGGUGAGGUAACGGCUCACCAAGACGAUGAUACGUAGCCGACCUGAGAGGUGAUCGGCCACAUUGGGACUGAGACACGGCCCAAACUCCUACGGGAGGCAGCAGUAGGGAAUCUUCCGCAAUGGACGAAAGUCUGACGGAGCAACGCCGCGUGAGUGAAGAAAAGGUUUUCGGAUCGUAAAACUCUGUUGUCAGAGAAGAACAAGUUGGAGAGUAACUGCUCCAGCCUUGACGGUAUCUGACCAGAAAGCCACGGCUAACUACGUGCCAGCAGCCGC
rnacentral:rRNA from 1 species